CCCCACGCUUAUGUUCUUUCAGAAAAGAUAUCCAUGGAACAAAUCAUCUGAAAACUAAGAGAGGAUGAAGAAUACUUCUGUUAAAAAGUUGAAGUAACUGAUGAGCAGAUCAAUCCAACUUGAACAUGAUAUGAUUUCUCCAAUGAUGAAAACAAGUCUCUCUAUACUCAAGCAUUGAUAUUUUUAAAGUCAACUGAAACUGGAACAGGUCAUACAUGCAGACUACAGUGAUGUGUUGCACAGUUCCGAAAACAUGCAGCCACCACUAGCAUAAGCAUGAUAAGUGUAAGUGGGUCAUCAAAGAACGAGAACCACUCAAGGACUUUUCUGUUGGUUGAUGAUGGACUACAAACUGAAUUUUUAACAAAGGAAUCCACCUUAGUGCUUAUUGGUUACUUAUAAUGUGAACUUGUGCAUUUAUUAUACCAAGUAAUUUUACAUUUCCUUAAUAAUACUAGACUUGCAUAAACCGAAUUCAGGUUUAGUUGAUUGAUUGCAGUAAUGCAGUUCUAAGUUCCUCUCGCAAGAUUAUAUCUCUGAUGUAUGAGACAUCAUUAAAUGCAGACAUUUUCUCUGUCCUCCUGUCGUGACUUGAGGGCUCGGACUUAGCUGUAAAAAUGUUUAUGAUGCAAGAGAAAAAUGUUCAACCGAUGUAUGUAAAUGUUGAUAAUAACAUUAAAUAUUCUUUGAUAACUAG